rnacentral:rRNA from 1 species
ACGAACGCUGGCGGCGUGCUUAACACAUGCAAGUCGAACGGAAAGGCCCUGCUUUUGUGGGGUGCUCGAGUGGCGAACGGGUGAGUAACACGUGAGUAACCUGCCCUUGUCUUUGGGAUAACUUCAGGAAACUGGGGCUAAUACCGGAUAGGAGCUCCUGCUGCAUGGUGGGGGUUGGAAAGUUUCGGCGGUUGGGGAUGGACUCGCGGCUUAUCAGCUUGUUGGUGGGGUAGUGGCUUACCAAGGCUUUGACGGGUAGCCGGCCUGAGAGGGUGACCGGCCACAUGAGGACUGAGAUACGGCCCAGACGACUACGGGAGGCAGCAGUGGGGAAUAUUGCACAAUGGGCGGAAGCCUGAUGCAGAAACGCCGCGUGCGGGAUGACGGCCUUCGGGUUGUAAACCGCUUUCGCCUGUGACGAAGCGUGAGUGACGGUAAUGGGUAAAGAAGCACCGGCUAACUACGUG